rnacentral:rRNA from 1 species
AAUGAACGCUGGCGGCAGGCCUAACACAUGCAAGUCGAACGGAUCCUUCGGGAUUAGUGGCGGACGGGUGAGUAACGCGUGGGAACAUACCCUUUGGUACGGAAUAGCCUCGGGAAACUGGGAGUAAUACCGUAUGUGGUCGAGAGACGAAAGAUUUAUCGCCAAAGGAUUGGCCCGCGUUGGAUUAGGUAGUUGGUGGGGUAAUGGCCUACGAAGCCGACGAGCCAUAGCUGGUUUGAGAGGAUGAUCAGCCACACUGGGACUGAGACACGGCCCAGACUCCUACGGGAGGCAGCAGUGGGGAAUCUUGGACAAUGGGGGAAACCCUGAUCUAGCCAUGCCGCGUGAUCGAUGAAGGCCUUAGGGUUGUAAAGAUCUUUCAGGUGGGAAGAUAAUGACUGUACCACCAGGAGAAGCCCCGGCUAACUCCGUGCCAGCAGCCGCCGUAACAC